UACGUAGGGGGCAAGCGUUGUCCGGAUUUACUGGGCGUAAAGAGCGCGUAGGCGGCUCGUUAAGUGUGAAGUGAAAUCUCCAGGGCUCAACCCGGAAACCGCUUUACAUACUGGCGAGCUUGAGGAAUGCAGAGGUUAGUGGAAUUCCGGGUGGAGCGGUGAAAUGCGUAGAGAUCCGGAGGAACACCGACGGCGUAGGCAGCGCACUGGCUGUGAAUAAAGCUGACACUGAGGCACGAAAGCUGGGGGAGCAAACAGG
rnacentral:rRNA from 1 species